rnacentral:rRNA from 1 species
GACCAGACUCCUACGGGAGGCAGCAGUGGGGAAUAUUGGGCAAUGGGCGCAAGCCUGACCCAGCAACGCCGCGUGAAGGAUGAAGGUUUUCGGAUUGUAAACUUCUGUCGCGAGGGACGAAGAAUGACGGUACCUCGUAAGAAAGCCCCGGCUAACUACGCGCCAGCAGCCGCGGUAAUACGUAGGUGGCAAGCGUUAUCCGGAUUUACUGGGUGUAAAGGGCGUGUAGGCGGGAAAGCAAGUCAGAUGUGAAAACCAUGGGCUCAACCUGUGGCCUGCAUUUGAAACUGUUUUUCUUGAGUACUGGAGAGGCAGACGGAAUUCCUAGUGUAGCGGUGAAAUGCGUAGAUAUUAGGAGGAACACCAGUGGCGAAGGCGGUCUGCUGGACAGCAACUGACGCUGAGGCGCGAAAGCGUGGGGAGCAAACAGGAUUAGAUACCCCCGUA